rnacentral:rRNA from 1 species
GACGAACGCUGGCGGCGUGCCUAAUACAUGCAAGUCGAGCGGACCAAAGGGAGCUUGCUCCUGGAGGUUAGCGGCGAACGGGUGAGUAACACGUGGGCAACCUGCCUGUAAGACUGGGAUAACAUCGAGAAAUCGGUGCUAAUACCGGAUAAUAAAAGAACUGCAUGGUUCUUUUUGAAAGAUGGUUUCGGCUAUCACUUACAGAUGGGCCCGCGGCGCAUUAGCUAGUUGGUGAGGUAACGGCUCACCAAGGCGACGAUGCGUAGCCGACCUGAGAGGGUGAUCGGCCACACUGGGACUGAGACACGGCCCAGACUCCUACGGGAGGCAGCAGUAGGGAAUCUUCCGCAAUGGACGAAAGUCUGACGGAGCAACGCCGCGUGAGUGAUGAGGUUUUCGGAUCGUAAAACUCUGUUGUUAGGGAAGAACAAGUGCCGUUCGAAAGGGCGGCACCUUGACGGUACCUAACGAGAAAGCCACGGCUAACUACGUGCCAGCAGCCGCGGUAAAG